CCCUUAGAUGUUCUGGGCCGCACGCGCGCUACACUGAUGCAUUCAACGAGUCUAAAACCUGGUCUGAUAGGGCUGGGUAAUCUUUUGAAAGUGCAUCGUGAUUGGGAUAGAUGAUUGCAAUUCUUCAUCUUCAACGAGGAAUGCCUAGUAAACGCAAGUCAUCAGCUUGCAUUGAUUACGUCCCUGCCCUUUGUACACACCGCCCGUCGCUCCUACCGAUUGAAUGAUCCGACGAAUACCAUGGAUUGAGAGUACGAAUGGGUUCGCUCAUUUCUGCUGCUCGAGAAGUGGAGUAAAUCUUAUCAUUUAGAGGAAGGAGAAGUCGUAACA
rnacentral:rRNA from 1 species